UCCUCUGCAGAAUCCCCCAGAGCACAGCUCCACACCAUGGACUGGACCUGGAAAAUCCUCUUCUUGGUAGUCGCUGUGAAAGGUGCCCAUGGCCAGGUGCAGCUGGUUCAGUCUGGGGCUGAGGUGAGGAGUCCUGGAACCUCAGUGAAAGUCUCCUGCAAGGCUUCUGGCUACACCUUCACCAGUUACUGGAUCAACUGGGUGCGCCAGGGUCCUGGACAGGGACUGGAGUGGAUUGCAAGGAUCUACCCUGGUGAUGGUGAUACUAAUUAUGCUCAGAAGUUCCAAGGAAAGGUCACCCUCACUGCCGACACCUCCUCCAGCACAGCCUACAUGGAGCUGAGCAAUCUGAAGUCUGAGGACACAGCCGUGUAUUACUGUGCGAGACACACAGUGUGGUGA